rnacentral:rRNA from 1 species
GUGGGGAAUUUUGGACAAUGGGCGCAAGCCUGAUCCAGCAAUGCCGCGUGCAGGAAGAAGGCCUUCGGGUUGUAAACUGCUUUUGUACGGAACGAAACGGUCCGGGUUAAUACCCUGGGCUAAUGACGGUACCGUAAGAAUAAGCACCGGCUAACUACGUGCCAGCAGUCGCGGUAAUACGUAGGGUGCAAGCGUUAAUCGGAAUUACUGGGCGUAAAGCGUGCGCAGGCGGUUUUGUAAGACAGGCGUGAAAUCCCCGGGCUCAACCUGGGAAUUGCGCUUGUGACUGCAAGGCUGGAGUGCGGCAGAGGGGGAUGGAAUUCCGCGUGUAGCAGUGAAAUGCGUAGAUAUGCGGAGGAACACCGAUGGCGAAGGCAAUCCCCUGGGCCUGCACUGACGCUCAUGCACGAAAGCGUGGGGAGCAAACAGGAUUAGAAACCCUUGUAGUCC